UGGAUCCUACGGGACGCAGCAGUGGGGAAUAUUGCACAAUGGGGGGAACCCUGAUGCAGCAAUGCCGCGUGAAGGAUGAAGGUUUUCGGAUUGUAAACUUCUUUUGUACGGGACGAAGAAAGUGACGGUACCGUAAGAAUAAGCCACGGCUAACUACGUGUCAGCAGCCGCGGUAAUACGUAGGUGGCAAUCGUUAUCCGGAUUUACUGGGAGUAAAGGGCGAGUAGGCGGGAUUGCAAGUCAGAUGUGAAAACUAUGGGCUCAACCGAUAGAGUGCAUUUGAAACUG
rnacentral:rRNA from 1 species